CAAAAAAUAGUUUAAUAAAAAUGUUAGUUUUGGGGACUAGCGAUGGGAAUUUGAGUGUCCCUUUUUUGA
rnacentral:tRNA from 1 species